UAGCGAGGUGGUGUAAGAUAGCACAGUAACUUUUGGAGUUAUGAGUGGUUAAAAACCCCUUGUUAA